rfam:Gossypium arboreum cultivar AKA8401 contig_31033_5, whole genome shotgun sequence.
GGGUGCGAUCAUACCAGCAUUAAUGCACCGGAUCACAUCAGAACUUCGCAGUUAAGUGUUCUAGGGCGAGAGUUGUACUAGGAUGGGUGACCUCCUAGGAAGUCAUCGUGUUGUAGCCC